AAUAAAUAUAGUUUUAUACUGUUCAUGUCUAACGUUUGACUGUUCAUCUUAUAUAAUAUUUUUUUAUAGUAUUUUUGUUAUUAUUAGAUGAUAAAACUAGUACUUUAUAUGUGACUAAUUUUUUUAAUAAAUUUUUUAAAUAAGAUAAAUGGUCAAACGUUGAACAUGGAUACUCACGACUGCACUUAUU
rnacentral:pre_miRNA from 1 species